rnacentral:rRNA from 1 species
AUACAGAGGGUGCAAGCGUUAAUCGGAUUUACUGGGCGUAAAGCGCGCGUAGGUGGCUAAUUAAGUCAAAUGUGAAAUUCCCGAGCUUAACUUGGGAAUUGCAUUCGAUACUGGUUAGCUAGAGUAUGGGAGAGGAUGGUAGAAUUCCAGGUGUAGCGGUGAAAUGCGUAGAGAUCUGGAGGAAUACCGAUGGCGAAGGCAGCCAUCUGGCCUAAAACUGACACUGAGGUGCGAAAGCAUGGGGAGCAAACAGGAUUAGAUACCCUGGUAGUCCAUGCCGUAAACGAUGUCUACUAGCCGUUGGGGCCCUUGAGGCUUUAGUGGCGCAGCUAACGCGAUAAGUAGACCGCCUGGGGAGUACGGUCGCAAGACUAAAACUCAAAUGAAUUGGCGGGG